rnacentral:rRNA from 1 species
AUACGGAGGGUGCAAGCGUUAAUCGGAAUUACUGGGCGUAAAGCGCGCGUAGGCGGUUUGCUCAGUCGGAUGUGAAAGCCCAGGGCUCAACCUUGGAACUGCAUACGAUACUGGCGAACUAGAGUGUGAGAGAGGAUAGUGGAAUUUCCGGUGUAGCGGUGAAAUGCGUAGAUAUCGGAAGGAACAUCAGUGGCGAAGGCGACUGUCUGGCUCAACACUGACGCUGAGGUGCGAAAGCGUGGGUAGCAAACAGGAUUAGAAACCCUAGUAGUCC